UGGGGAAUUUUGGACAAUGGGGGAAACCCUGAUCCAGCCAUCCCGCGUGUGCGAUGAAGGCCUUCGGGUUGUAAAGCACAUUUGGCAGGAAAGAAACGUCAUGGGUUAAUACCCCGUGAAACUGACGGUACCUGCAGAAUAAGCACCGGCUAACUACGUGCCAGCAGCCGCGGUAAUACGUAGGGUGCAAGCGUUAAUCGGAAUUACUGGGCGUAAAGCGUGCGCAGGCGGUUCGGAAAGAAAGAUGUGAAAUCCCAGAGCUCAACUUUGGAACUGCAUUUUUAACUACCGGGCUAGAGUGUGUCAGAGGGAGGUGGAAUUCCGCGUGUAGCAGUGAAAUGCGUAGAUAUGCGGAGGAACACCGAUGGCGAAGGCAGCCUCCUGGGAUAACACUGACGCUCAUGCACGAAAGCGUGGGGAGCAAACAGG
rnacentral:rRNA from 1 species